rnacentral:rRNA from 2 species
AUGCAUGUGUAAGUACAGGCCGAUUUAAGGCGAAACCGCGAAUGGCUCAUUAAAUCAGCUAUGAUUCAUUGGAUCUGUAAACCCACUUACUUGGAUAACUGUGGUAAUUCUAGAGCUAAUACAUGCACCACGUCUCUGACCGCAAGGGAAGAGCGCUUUUAUUAGUUCAAAACCAGUCGGGCCUCGGUCCGUCACCCAUGUGUGGUGAAUCUGAAUAACUUCUCGCUGAGCGCAGGGUCUCCGCACCGGCGCCGCAUCUUUCAAGUGUCUGCCUUAUCAGCUUUCGAUUGUAGGUUAUGCGCCUACAAUGGCUAUAACGGGUAACGGGGAAUCAGGGUUCGAUUCCGGAGAGGGAGCCUGAGAAACGGCUACCACA